GUAUAUCUCUCUCUGGACAGACUGAGCUGUAUAUCUCUCUGGACAGACUGAGCUGUAUAUCUCUCUCUGGACAGACUGAGCUGUAUAUCUCUCUCUGGACAGACUGAGCUGUAUAUCUCUCUCUGGACAGACUGAGCUGUAUAUCUCUCUCUGGACAGACUGAGCUGUAUAUCUCUCUGGACAGACUGAGCUGUAUAUCUCUCUGGACAGACUGAGCUGUAUAUCUCUCUCUAGACAGACUGAGCUGUAUAUCUCUCUCUGGACAGACUGAGCUCUGUAUAUCUCUCUCUCUCAGACAGAUUCCUUUUCAAUCCUUCAAAUACAUCAAAUAACAUUCUGAUUCAUUUGGCCUUUUUGUGUGAGUCCCAUUUCGCUGUAAAUCUGUGGGUAAAUCUUACAACAGGUUUACAUUGUAACGUGUGAUGCUGCAUUGUGUAUUCACAUCUGAUGCUUUAUUCAUUAGGUAUUCAUCAGUAGAAAGCAAUGAGUAUUUAAAUCACAGUACAGACAGUAGUUUCACACACUAACAGAGACUAACAGAGUGUCUGGCAGGUUAGAGCCUGGGGUUAGGGGUCAGGGGUUAGAGGAUAGGGGGUUAGAGGUUAGAGAAUAGGGGUUAGGGGUUAGAGGUUAGGGAAUAGGGGUUAGCGGUUAGGGGUUAGGGGUUAGGGGUCAGAGGAUAGGGGUUAGAGGUUAGGGAAUAGGGGUUAGGGGUUAGAGGUUAGGGGUUAGAGGUUAGGGAAUAGGGGUUAGGGGUUAGAGGUUAGGGAAUAGGGGUUAGAGGUUAGGGGUUAGGGGUCAGAGGAUAGCGGUUAGAGUCAGGCAGUAACAGGUGAUAGCAGCAGCAGCUAGAGAGUAGUCAAGGCCCGUGAUGCUGCAAAGCGUUUCAAUGAGACUCCGUCAUCGCCAACCAAUCAGGUCCUCAGCCUGCUGCGUCUGUCUGCGUGGGGGGAGGGGCCAAAGACUGUCCAGUUAAAGGCCGUCUGUCAGACCAAUCACCUCAAGGCUUCAGCCUCCAUGAAAAAUCACAGGGAUCACAGCAAAACAGCAAUAAGAGCAUCACACGUGUUAUAACAGACGUUACAAGGUGUUAUAACAGAUGUUACAAUGUGUUAUAACAGACGUUACCAUGUUUUAUAACAGUGUUAUGGAUGUAUGAGAUGUUAAAACACAUUGUAACAGUGUUAUAGAUGUAUGAGAUGUUACAAUGUGUUAUAACAGAUGUUACAAUGUGUUAUAACAGUGUUAUAGAUGUAUGAGGACCAUGUAUAUAAUAUAGGAUCAUGUUAACAGACUGCUCUACCUGAGAAAACCUUUUCCACACAGACACUCUUAACUUUCCCAUGGUCACAUCCCACCACAGACAGACAGGGGAUUCAGAACCACAGACAGACAGGGGAUUCAGAACCACAGACAGACAGGGGAUUCAGAACCACAGACAGACAGGGGAUUCAGAACCACAGACAUGUUAACAGACAGACAGGGGAUUCAGAACCACAGACAGACAGGGGAUUCAGAACCACAGACAUACAGGGGAUUCAGAACCACAGACAUGUUAACAGACAGACAGGGGAUUCAGAACCACAGACAGACAGGGGAUUCAGAACCACAGACAGACAGGGGAUUCAGAACCACAGACAGACAGGGGAUUCAGAACCACAGACAGACAGGGGAUUCAGAACCACAGACAUGUUAACAGACAGACAGGGGAUUCAGAUCCACAGACAGACAGGGGAUUCAGAACCACAGACAGACAGGGGAUUCAGAACCACAGACAGACAGGGGAUUCAGAAC
rnacentral:lncRNA from 1 species